GUAUAAGGUUUAUAGGCACAAGGGCCCAAAUGAUACAUUCUGUUACAUGCUAUGGGGUAUAUAAAAAAAAACGUAGACCGGGAAAUACAAAGAAAGCUUGAGAAGCAUUCCUCCAGACCGAGUUGCCUCGGAAAGUCUAUCCCCCAAGUCUACAAGAGGUGCACAGGUGGAGAGAUGAGGAUGGUGGGUGUGCACAUGCCCCCAAAAGGGCCAGCAACAACCACACCAAGUUCAUUCAAUAAUGAUCCUUCCGCAGGUUCACCUACGGAAA
rnacentral:misc_RNA from 1 species